rnacentral:rRNA from 1 species
CGAAAGCCUGACGGAGCAACGCCGCGUGAGGGAUGAAGGCCUCUGGGCUGUAAACCUCUUUUCUCAAGGAAGAAGACCCGACGGUACUUGAGGAAUAAGCCACGGCUAAUUCCGUGCCAGCAGCCGCGGUAAUACGGGAGUGGCAAGCGUUAUCCGGAAUUAUUGGGCGUAAAGCGUCCGCAGGCGGCCGUACAAGUCUGUCGUUAAAGCGUGGAGCUUAACUCCAUUUAAGCGAUGGAAACUGUAAGGCUAGAGUGUGGUAGGGGCAGAGGGAAUUCCCGGUGUAGCGGUGAAAUGCGUAGAUAUCGGGAAGAACACCAGUGGCGAAGGCGCUCUGCUGGGCCAUAACUGACGCUCAUGGACGAAAGCCAGGGGAGCG